GAGGUUGUUGACCAGAGCCAGCGGCGGAGAGAACAGGCGGAUCGUAAAGACGCCGUAAAAUCAUCCCUGAUGGCUCGAGCCGUGCCAUCCGUGGCGCGGACGCUUU
rfam:Yersinia mollaretii ATCC 43969 contig01628, whole genome shotgun sequence.